GCGGGCGUGAUGGAACUGGAAGACAUGCAAGAUUUAGGUUCUUGUGCUGCAAGGCGUAUGGGUUCGACCCCCUUCGCCCGCACCA
rnacentral:tRNA from 1 species